UGGCAAUUGCAAUUAUGGAUACACUUCUGGUCUCUUCUUUGAAUGUGAUGGCUGUGGAUAUCUUAUCUGCACUCGAUGUGUCAGGAAGAUAUAUGGGUGAUUAACAAGUCAAUGCAAUUCUGAGAUACUUCUACACUCUCUUUGGCAAGUGUUUUAUGUCAGCUAUAAACUUUUUACACAAUAAUGUUAUUUCAGCACAUCAGCGUUGCAUUUGUGUUGUUUUAUCUUUCUUAGUGGAUUUGCUACUUAUAUCCAAUUAUAUCACCUCAGCCAAAAUAGAUACAAGUUAUUCUAUGAUUGCAAUGUAUAUAUAACUUAUAAGGAUCAUGAAGCUACAUUCGAAGAAUAAUUAGCUUAAGUCACUCAUAAUAAGCAAGUCAAGUGAAUAAGAAAGAGGGCAUAUGUCAGAAAAUAGCAUAGAAUCACAAAUGCAAAAAUCACUUUAAGUUUCUUGCUUAACCGAUUGCAAUCAUUAUUAGGUUUCUUGGAUAAUAAAAUUAUAAAUUCACUGUUUAAGCCAAUCAAAUAAUCUUGAUGCAUUAGAAAACACAUGAUGCAAAAAGCAGACACAAUCUAAAGAACAGAAUUUUGGGACAGAAAGCUCGAUCAAAAAACAUACCUCUUCCUUGCAAAAUCAAAAGCUAUAGCAUCUUUACUUCUUCAAGCAGAGAAAUUAUCAUCUUUUCCAAUUCAUAUAUCAUUGUUCUUAUCAUAAUAAUAUUAAGAUUAUGUGAGCGAGAAAAUAUUGAGAUGGUGUAUGGUGAUUGUGUGAAGUUUGUGACCGGGAUUUUGUGAGGUUUAUGGCUGGGAUUGUGUGCUGGUUG
rnacentral:lncRNA from 1 species